rnacentral:rRNA from 1 species
GACAGAGGGUGCAAACGUUGCUCGGAAUCACUGGGCGUAAAGGGCGUGUAGGCGGGUAGAUAAGUCGGGCGUGAAAUCCCUAGGCUCAACCUAGGAACUGCACUCGAAACUGUUUAUCUUGAGUGCCGGAGAGGAAAGCGGAAUUCCUGGUGUAGAGGUGAAAUUCGUAGAUAUCAGGGAGGAACACCAGUCGGCGAAGGGCGGCUUUC